rnacentral:rRNA from 1 species
UGCUUAACACAUGCAAGUCGAACGGUAGUAGCAAUACUACAGUGGCGCACGGGUGAGGAACACGUAGCUCAUCUGCCCUCAAGCGCGGGAUAACGGUCCGAAAGGAUUGCUAAUACCGCAUAAGCUCACGGAUUGUAGAGGUCUGCGAGAAAAGGGGAAACUCACUUGAGGAGGAGGCUGCGGCCCAUCAGGUAGUUGGUGUGGUAACGGCGCACCAAGCCAACGACGGGUAGGGGACCUGAGAGGGUGACCCCCCACACUGGGACUGAGACACGGCCCAGACUCCUACGGGAGGCAGCAGUGAGGAAUAUUGCCCAAUGGACGAAAGUCUGAGGCAGCGACGCCGCGUGGGUGAUGAAGGCCUUCGGGUCGUAAAGCCCUUUUCUGUGUGACGAGCAAGGACGGUAGCACAGGAAAAAGUCUCGGCUAACUACGUGCCAGCAGCCGCGGUAAAACGUAGGAGGCAAGCGUUAUCCGGAGUUACUGGGCGUAAAGCGUGCGUAGGCGGGUCGGUAAGUGGGUGGUGAAAGCGCCGGGCUAAACCGGGCGAGGUCCAUUCAGACUGUC